rnacentral:rRNA from 1 species
UCUACGGGAGGCUGCAGUGGGGAAUAUUGGACAAUGGGCGAAAGCCUGAUCCAGCCAUGCCGCGUGUGUGAAGAAGGCCUUCGGGUUGUAAAGCACUUUCAGUGGGGAAGAAAGCCUUGGGGCUAAUACCCUCGAGGAAGGACAUCACCCACAGAAGAAGCACCGGCUAACUCCGUGCCAGCAGCCGCGGUAAUACGGAGGGUGCGAGCGUUAAUCGGAAUUACUGGGCGUAAAGCGCGCGUAGGCGGUCUGAUAAGCCGGUUGUGAAAGCCCCGGGCUCAACCUGGGAACGGCAUCCGGAACUGUCAGGCUAGAGUGCAGGAGAGGAAGGUAGAAUUCCCGGUGUAGCGGUGAAAUGCGUAGAGAUCGGGAGGAAUACCAGUGGCGAAGGCGGCCUUCUGGACUGACACUGACGCUGAGGUGCGAAAGCGUGGGUAGCAAACAGGAUUAGAUACCCGAGUGUC